CAGCCGCCGCGGUAAUACGUAGGGUGCAAGCGUUAAUCGGAAUUACUGGGCGUAAAGCGUGCGCAGGCGGUUAUACAAGACAGGCGUGAAAUCCCCGGGCUUAACCUGGGAAUUGCGUCUGUGACUGUAUGGCUAGAGUGUGUCAGAGGGGGGUAGAAUUCCACGUGUAGCAGUGAAAUGCGUAGAUAUGUGGAGGAAUACCAAUGGCGAAGGCAGCCCCCUGGGAUAACACUGACGCUCAUGCACGAAAGCGUGGGGAGCAAACAGGAUUAGAUACCCUGGUAGUCCACGCCCUAAACGAUGCUGACUAGUUGUUCGGGAUUUUAUCCUGAGUAGCGUAGCUAACGCGUGAAGUCAGCCGCCUGGGGAGUACGGUCGCAAGAUUAAAACUCAAAUGAAUUGACGG
rnacentral:rRNA from 1 species